GCCGGGCGUGGUGGUGUGUGCCCGUAGUCCCAGCUACUUGAGAGGCUGAGGCAGGAGGAUUGCUUGGGCCUAGGAGCUCCAGGUUACAGUGAGCUAUGAUUGUGUCACUGCACUCUAGCUUGGGCAACAAAGCAAGAACUUGUCUCUA
rnacentral:SRP_RNA from 1 species